CAAAAUGUAGCUUAAUCAAGGUAUUUCGCUUACACCGAAAACAUGUUCGUUCAACCCGAACCAUUUUGA
rnacentral:tRNA from 1 species